rnacentral:lncRNA from 1 species
AUUGAGUACAAGAAAUUCUCUUUUUCCUACAAAAAGAAUCACAAUCAGACCCGAUCAAGCCGCCAUUGGCUUCAAACAUGGCCUGUAAGAUGUACAAUGUCCUUUCUAUACUUGUCUUGCUACUAUCAUUUUCACUACUCAUGGCUCCAACUUCAACCAGAAACACACACUUGGGUAAGUUCUAACAACAUACGAAACAUUCUCCUUAACUAUUAUUAGUUCUAUAGUAUUUCUUUUGUUAUUGGGUUAUUGUAGGAAAGAAAGCGAAUGAAAGGAUUCACAGAAAUCUAAUCCAAGUAAAACCACCGCCAUGUCGUCCUCAUGCUAGAAGUGGGAUUAUCUGUCCUCCUCCUUAUGCUGCUGAUGAUGGCCAAAAGGAAAACUUUAGUUGGGCAACCCAGACGCAGGGCCUUCCUUAAUCUUACUAUUCAUGUAUGCUUUUCUGAUUCAGAUUUUAUGUAGUUGCUGUCCAGUUUUAGUUGUUCUUCUGGCAAAUUUCAACUGUUAAAGUUUGAGGACUCAUUUGCUAAGAGGCUUCAAGUUGGACUAUUGAAAAUGGAAAUUAAUUAAACUAGCUUAGACAUUAAAUUUAAACCAUUUCUCACAUGUAUUGAAAAAAAAAAAAUUGCAGUCAGAUGUAGCAAACUUAAGCCCCGGGGUUCAAUCUGGGAAAUUCCUAUGGUUCCAAGAUAAAGAAUUCUCUAAAACCGGGGUCUGUAGGCCGGGGGUUCAAUCUGCAAAACUAUGUGCUCCCCUUGUUCGAUAAGUGACGUCAUAUAUAUUUUUCUUUGCCAAAGUAAUAUCUGAAAUUACUGUAUAUUUGAUAAAUAAUUGAAAUUUUUUAAUGAUUUUAUUUUUUUAAUACAUUUGAUAAGUCAUUUUCGAUGAAAAAUGUUGAAAAGGCUAUGUAAAUCUUAGUUACCUAAUUUAUAAAAUCAAUUUUAUUUAAUUUUUUAAAUUAAUAAAAAUUUUACUAAACAAUUUAUUUUCAAUAAAAUAUCAAAUAAUUUUUAUAUCAUAAUUUGAAUUUCUUAAAACUAAAUAUUUAAUAUUUAAUUUUUCAUUGUUCAAUUUAUUCAAUUUAUCAACAACUUAUUAGGCGCUGAUGAUAAUCAUUUCCUUCCUGUGGAGCAUGGACCCCAUGAGCAGAAAUUCUUUUUGACUUUCAAAACAAAAUUAAAAGAAAAAGGUUUUUUUUUUAUCAUUAUUGGAAAGACCUUCGAUUAUGUUUAAGAUUUCAACAUGUAAAGAGUGCUGUUAAAUGUAUUUUAUUUUUAUUUUUUACAUUUUAAUUUUUUUUAAUUUUUGUAAGUAAAAUUAUUUAAUUAUUUUUUAACAAGUUUUAGAAAAUGAAUUUUUAAAAAAUUUUGAAAGUUUUUGAAAAUAAAUAUUUAGAAAUUUUUAAAAGUUUUGAAAAUAAAUUUUGUCAAAUUCUUAAAAGUUUUAUGAAAUCCAGUUUAGAAAAUUUUUAAAAUUUUUCAAAAAUUCAUUUUCAAAAAUUUUGA